rnacentral:rRNA from 1 species
UACGUAGGGGACUAGCGUUGUUCGGAAUCACUGGGCGUAAAGCGCACGUAGGCGGAUGAGUCAGUCAGGGGUGAAAUCCCGGGGCUCAACCUCGGAACUGCCUUUGAUACAGCACGUCUCGAGUCCGGAAGAGGUGGGUGGAAUUCCUAGUGUAGAGGUGAAAUUCGUAGAUAUUAGGAGGAACACCGGUGGCGAAGGCGGCCCACUGGUCCGGUACUGACGCUGAGGUGCGAAAGCGUGGGGAGCAAACAGG